rnacentral:rRNA from 1 species
UAGGCCUACGGGAGGCAGCAGUGAGGAAUAUUGGUCAAUGGGCGAGAGCCUGAACCAGCCAAGUCGCGUGAAGGAUGAAGGAUCUAUGGUUCGUAAACUUCUUUUAUAUGGGAAUAAAGUGAGGAACGUGUUCCUUUUUGUAUGUACCAUAUGAAUAAGCAUCGGCUAACUCCGUGCCAGCAGCCGCGGUAAUACGGAGGAUGCGAGCGUUAUCCGGAUUUAUUGGGUUUAAAGGGUGCGUAGGCGGUUUUUUAAGUUAGUGGUUAAACGUCGGGGCU